UGGGGAAUCUUGCACAAUGGGGAAACCCUGAUGCAGCGACGCCGCGUGAACGAUGAAGCCCUUCGGGGUGUAAAGUUCUUUCGACAGGAACGAUAAUGACGGUACCUGGAGAAGAAGCUGCGGCUAACUACGUGCCAGCAGCCGCGGUAAUACGUAGGCAGCAAGCGUUGUUCGGAGUUACUGGGCGUAAAGAGUGCGUAGGCGGUUUUCUAAGUUCGGUGUGAAAUCUCCCGGCUUAACUGGGAGGGUGCGCCGAAGACUGGGAAGCUGGAAUGUGGGAAAGGCAGGCGGAAUUCCUGGUGUAGCGGUGAAAUGCGUAGAUAUCAGGAGGAACACCGGCGGUGUAGACGGCUUGCUAGACCAUAACUGACGCUGAGGCACGAAAGCGUGGGUAGCAAACA
rnacentral:rRNA from 1 species